AGAUGACAAGAAAUACGCUUGGCGGCACCUGUUCGCGUCAUCAUUUGGGUUCCGCUUUUGCGCGUUCACCGAGUAACGAGACUCUAAUUAUAUCGUUGAUCGUCAUAAAUUAAAGUCAAGUUGCGUGGUCACGCUAGGCCCAGUGCUACCCAAGCGCAAGCAAGCAAGCAAACAAGCAAGCGAGCAAGCAAGAGUCGAUUCGAAUGAUCUUUCCGUCUCCGUCUCCGAGCCAAUAUCUUUCCCGGUCUCUCUCCCCUCCACUUUUGCGCUCGCGCCCACAGAUCGUUUUAACCUCCGAUAAGGUCGGAUCGCAGGAUCCCUUUGAGCGUGUAUACGUGCGUGCGCGCAACUGCUAGCAAGAAAAUAAAGAAAGAAGCAAGGAAAAAAGAAAAGAGGAACGUUUACGUAGUAGACGCGGGAGCGCCCGCCUGCGCGCUCGCGCGCACACGCACAUUUUUACACAGCGUGCUCGAUGGGAUCUUUUAGUAGGAAAAGUCGUCGUCGUCGCACGACUAUGUAACGUGGAGAGAUAACGACCGAAACGAGAAAGAGAAACUUCUUUAACGAGUAAGAAAGAAAGAAAGAAAGAAAGAAAGAAAGAUGGAAAGAAAUAGCGUAUGAGGGAAUUUUCCUCGGCAAAACCGCGCCACGCCUACGAUCUAGGGAUUCGUAAAAAUAAUCGUUCAAAAGUUCUGGGACAGAAAAAACAACAUCGAGCAUUUCCUCGAGAAUCGGUUGAAAAAUGACGAACGGAAGAAGACUAACACAAAUGGAGACUUUUUUUUUUUUGGUUGAACUGGUUAGUUUCUAAUAAGGAGACAUUUGUUAGCUUAUUGUUAGUUGGAAGAUUUCGUUUUCACUUUACAAAAGGUGUACAAUAGAAUAGGUGAAGAGCAAUGUUCUAUUGCUAGGUCAGUAUUCCUAGAAUUGUAAAGAAGGACAGAACCAAAAAAUUACCAUAAUAAAAUUUUAGACAAUUCAUUCUCGAUUUACAAAAAUAUAAUUCUCUUGUACGUCAAAUCCUACAGCAGAUAUAUAUACAAUACAAUAUGUUCUUUUUAGUGCCGCUUUUGUAUUCAUCGUUGACAUGGAUAAGAGAGCGGUGAAUUCUAAAGGAAACAAUAAAAUUUGUAAAGAAAUUCAUUAAUCGAGAAAAAUGUUGCACGCUAGGCGGGAGAUCGGAAGUUAAAGUGACAAAAAAAGAAGAAAAAAAAGUAUAAAGAGAGACUUCCCAAAAGUGACAGA
rnacentral:lncRNA from 1 species